AACGAACGCUGGCGGCAGGCCUAACACAUGCAAGUCGAACGCCCCGCCAGGGGAGUGGCAGACGGGUGAGUAACACGUGGGAACCUUCCCUAUAGUACGUAAUAGCCCAGGGAAACUUGGAGUAAUACCGUAUACGCCCUAAAGGGGAAAGAAUUACGCUAUAGGAGGGGCCCGCGUAGGAUUAGCUAGUUGGUGAGGUAAUGGCUCACCAAGGCGACGAUCCUUAGCUGGUUAGAGAGAACGACCAGCCACACUGGGACUGAGACACGGCCCCGACUCCUACGGGAGGGAGCAGUGGGGAAUCUAGGAAUAUGGGCGGAGGCCUGAUCGAGCCCGGCCGGGUAAGUGAUGAUGGUCGUAGGGAAGUAAAGCUCUUUUGGCGGGGACGAUAAUGACGGUACCCGAAGAAUAAGUCCCGGCUAACUACGUG
rnacentral:rRNA from 1 species